rnacentral:rRNA from 1 species
UGCGUAGGGUCCGAGCGUUGUCCGGAAUUACUGGGCGUAAAGAGCUCGUAGGUGGUUUGUCGCGUUGUUCGUGAAAACUCACAGCUCAACUGUGGGCGUGCGGGCGAUACGGGCAGACUGGAGUACUGCAGGGGAGACUGGAAUUCCUGGUGUAGCGGUGGAAUGCGCAGAUAUCAGGAGGAACACCGGUGGCGAAGGCGGGUCUCUGGGCAGUAACUGACGCUGGAGGAGCGAAAGCGUGGGGAGCGAACAGG